GCCGAUGUAGCACAGUGGUAGUGCAUUCGAUUCGUAAUCGAAAGGUCGCGGGUUCAAAUCCCGCCAUCGGCU
rnacentral:tRNA from 1 species